rnacentral:rRNA from 1 species
UACGUAGGGUGCAAGCGUUGUCCGGAAUUAUUGGGCGUAAAGAGCUCGUAGGCGGGUCUGUCGCGUCGGCUGUGAAAAACCCGGGGCUCAACCCCGGGCCUGCAGUCGAUACGGGCAGACUAGAGUGCGGUAGGGGAGACUGGAAUUCCUGGUGUAGCGGUGAAAUGCGCAGAUAUCAAGGAGGAACACCGGUGGCGAAGGCGGGUCUCUGGGCCGUAACUGACGCUGAGGAGCGAAAGCGUGGGGAGCGAAC